ensembl:lncRNA
CUGUGGGCUCCUCCAGAGCCGUGAAGAAGGGGGAACUCCAGCCCCACCAUGACAAGACCGGGUCUUCCGUGCAUGGCGACUCCACCCAUGUGAGAGCUCUCUUAUGUGAGUCCUCAGCAGCACAUUGUGCUGUCUGUGGUCUAUGGACACUGACUGCCAUCUAAGCAACACCACAGCUCCCUCCUCUCCCCCUAGACGCCACUGUCUUAGAGCCUCCAUGUGCAUUUGCUAUGACAUACAUCAGUGUUGAUGAGAGACAGGAACACUGCCGGGUGAUCUCGAGCUGCCAAAAUAAUCAGCUCUGUGCACAACAUGGCUUAAAGGAUUUUUCGGUUAGCAGCAUGCAUCCACUAAAGAGCCUAGACACUCACAUUUUUUCUGGGGACUUCCACACUCUAGACUACUGCCACACAGGCAAGGCACCUUUGGCCGGUUCUGUGGAAAACCGGAUGUAUCGGAGUGUGGAGAACCUUCACUGGGCAACUGUUGCCGACUCUGGGCUGUAUUCUCACUGCCGGAGCCUGGAUAACGAGAUCGUCUUUCGCUAUAGAGGCACCAGUCAGUGGACAGAAGGCUGUGUGGAUGUGGCCCCAGUACAGAGCACGUCGGACUCUCCGAGAAACCUUUCUCUCCGUGCUAAACAGACGUCUCGAUCGGCACAGAACGUGCUCCUCCCUCCCUUUGCCAAAGUGCCUCAGUGGCUCUUCCCUUCUGCAGAGGAAAGAGCCCUACAUGGGGAUGCCAGAAAAGAGCUGAAGGAGAAGCUGAGGCUGCACAGCAGUAAGGUGGCAGAGCCCUGUAAGCCAGUGCGUCCCCAGGUGGCCCUGCCUGACCUGAUGGCCCGGGAGUUCUUUGAGUGCCAGGUGUGUCAGCAGUGCAAGAACGGUUGUGCUGUCAACUACUGCACGGUGUUGGUGGAACACACUGCCCUCAGGCACGGCCUCACGGGGAGACAGGGACUGUGCUUUGCACACAGGAUCAUCAGUCCAGAAGACAUCAAGCAGGAGGCUCAGAGGAGGCUUCAGCUCCGAAGGCAGAAUAGCUCCCCCAGUUUGCCCCUUCAGCACACAGGGGAAAGCCAUGAGAUGGGCAAAUCCAGAACAGCAGAAACCCUAGAACAAUACAGUGGGGAAACAGAUGGCAAAGUCACAUUGGGACAGAGCAAGAAAGGUUACUGUAAAGGGAGGCUCUACAUACCCACCUUUGAGGAAUUUAAGCAGAUGAGAAGAAAGGAAGGAAAUUCAUCUACCAGCAGCAGUGAGACAACGGAGUGCUUGAAUAAGGGUCUGCCUGCAAACCAGACACUGGAGGAGGAAAAGAAUGUCUGUCCAGAAGCUUUGGGGACCAAAGCUGUCAAUGAAUCUGCUGUCACAGCGGAGGAUGAUGACAAUGUAUUCCAUGAAAACCACACCUCUGCUGGCUUUUCCCAGUAUCCAGCCACAUGGGAUGGUUUCAGGAUGAGCAGUCCUGAGCUGAAGGACAAAACCUUCCAUACCUCUAGCCCAGAUACAUCGCCAGUCCCUAUUUGCUCCAGUCCAAUUCCACGAUCACCUUUACAGGCAGUAGCAAUACACAGAACUGGGCAGGAGAUCUUGAGUGAUGAGCAGCAGAAAGGAGAGACAAGAAAAUUAAAUGAUGUCCUCCACCUUACAGGGCAGUCCCUGGCUUCUGAAGCCCAGUCCUCUUGCUGUUCAUCGCUGCUGUUAGAAGCUACAGACUUAUCCAGCUAUGGAGCUAAGCUACAAAAAAUGAAGGAUGAAUUCAUAGGUUCAGCCUUGGAACUUAUUAAGAAAAGCUGCAAUGCUGAGACUGCUGCCAAAUCCCCCUCUAAGGGACAGUGUGAUCUGAGGGAAGCUGAUCUCCCACCUUCGGAGGACAGCCAGCAGCCCACAGCGAUGUCCGUGGCAACAGAGACCUGGGAGAACAAGCCAAGCAAUGAGACAGCCAGCGCCACUCCACCUGCAGGGAAUGUAAGGGAGAGGAAUUCACCUCUCAUCUUGGGCACGUGUUCAGGAUUUUUUUCCUC